rnacentral:rRNA from 1 species
GAUGAACGCUGGCGGCGUGCCUAAUACAUGCAAGUCGAGCGAACGGACGAGAAGCUUGCUUCUCUGAUGUUAGCGGCGGACGGGUGAGUAACACGUGGAUAACCUACCUAUAAGACUGGGAUAACUUCGGGAAACCGGAGCUAAUACCGGAUGAUAUUUUGAACCGCAUGGUUCAAAAGUGAAAGACGGUCUUGCUGUCACUUAUAGAUGGAUCCGCGCUGCAUUAGCUAGUUGGUAAGGUAACGGCUUACCAAGGCAACGAUGCAUAGCCGACCUGAGAGGGUGAUCGGCCACACUGGAACUGAGACACGGUCCAGACUCCUACGGGAGGCAGCAGUAGGGAAUCUUCCGCAAUAGGCGGAAGCCUGACGAAACAACGCCGCGUGAGUGAUGAAGGUCUUCGGGUCGUAAAGCUCUGUUAUUAGGGAAGAACAUAUGUGUAAGUAACUGUGCGCAUCUUGACGGUACCUAAUCAGGAAGCCACGGCUAACUACGUG